rfam:Eucalyptus grandis cultivar BRASTZ1 unplaced genomic scaffold scaffold_11, whole genome shotgun sequence.
GGUCUGAGCCACGUCGCCGGUAGCCGGAAAGGGCAUUGACCGGCGAUGCUAUGAUCGGACCGAGAGAGAUCUGAUUCGUUCUUUGAUAGGAACCUGUGGACCUUGAUAUCUGUGGUCUACGGAGCCGUUUUGGGCGAUCACAUUC